AUUGAACGCUGGCGGCAGGCCUAACACAUGCAAGUCGAACGAGUGGCGGACGGGUGAGUAAUGUCUGGGAAACUGCCUGAUGGAGGGGGAUAACUACUGGAAACGGUAGCUAAUACCGCAUACCAUCAGAUGUGCCCAGAUGGGAUUAGCUAGUUGGUGGGGUAACGGCUCACAAAGGCGACGAUCCCUAGCUGGUCUGAGAGGAUGACCAGCCGCACUGGGACUGAGAGACGGCCCACACUCCUACGGGAGGGAGCGGUGGGGAAUAUUGCACAAUGGGCGCAAGCCUGAUGCAGCCAUGCCGCGUGUAGGAAGAAGGCCUUCGGGUUGUAAAAUACUUUCAGCGGGGAGGCGUUACCCGCAGAAGAAGCAACGGCUAACUCCGUGCAAGCCGCCGCGGUAAUAC
rnacentral:rRNA from 1 species